rnacentral:rRNA from 1 species
ACACGCUGGCGGCGUGCUUAACACAUGCAAGUCGAACGGAGAUUAUUAAUGAAGCUUGCGAUUUAAUAAUCUUAGUGGCGGACGGGUGAGUAACGCGUGGGCAACCUACCCAUAAGCGGGGGAUAACAGUUGGAAACGACUGCUAAUACCGCAUAAGCUAUAGAGGUCGCAUGACCUAAAUAGUAAAGGUGGCAUUUAAAGAUGCUAUCACUUAUGGAUGGGCCCGCGUCUGAUUAGCUAGUUGGUGGGGUAGUGGCCUACCAAGGCAACGAUCAGUAGCCGGCCUGAGAGGGUGGACGGCCACACUGGGACUGAGACACGGCCCAGACUCCUACGGGAGGCAGCAGUGGGGAAUAUUGCGCAAUGGGGGAAACCCUGACGCAGCGACGCCGCGUGAGCGAAGAAGGCCUUAGGGUCGUAAAGCUCUGUUGUAAGGGACGAAUGUUUAUCUGACGAACAGUCAGAUAAAGUGACGGUACCUUACCAGCAAGCCCCGGCUAACUACGUG